AAAGUAUCAAAAAGUAGGGUGUAUAUCUUGUUCUGAAUAUCGAGUACUGUUGUACUUUUUUGUUGCGUAGUAGUGGCAUUGCUGUUAAUUUUAUGUUCCUAAUUAUUUGUUGUACUUGCUUCUCUGUUCUUUUACUUUUUCUGUUUUCUUGUCUUUUUGCCAAACUUUAUGUGGAUCAAAUAUAAUUAGGAUUUAUGGCGCUGUGAGUUGGGUAAAGUGCAGAGAAUAGGUUUUAGAAUAAAGUUUAGGAGUUUUAAUUUUAAAAUUUUAAAAUUUUUUUUAAUGAUGCGAUAAAUAGUGAGAAUCACAUGUGACGUGAUAUUCAUAUUUAUAUUUAGAUCUAUAUUUUUAUUUUAUUUAUUUUUUUUCUCUUAUUACAUCAUUACAACUCUCUUUAAACCUCCAAAGUUAGAGUUGUUCAAUUAUUGUAGGUUUUAUGAGUGAGAUUGGAAGCUGUUGUUAUAAUGGACUUUAAAUUGAAAACAUCAGCUUGGGAGUUUUUUCAUUUGAUUUGAAGCUUGGUGGAUUGGGAGUUUUGGGGACAAAUUCAAGGAACCAAUAGGCUCCACAAUUGUGUCAUCAAAGAGGAGGAGGCCUAUCAAAGGAAAUCAAAAUGUGUCGUGCUUAGUGGAUGGCUGCUCGGCUGAACUAAGUAGUUGUAGAGAGUAUCAUCGCCGCCAGAGGGUGUGUGAGUGCCACUCUAAGACACCGGUUGUGGUUGUUAGAGGCAAAGAGCUCCGGUUCUGCCAGCAAUGUAGCAGGAGUUUGAUGAAGAGAAGCGAAGCUGCAGAAAACGCCUUGAUGGUCACAACCGGUGUCGUAGGAAACCCCAGCCACAAGCCUUCUACAUGACUUCUGGGAGCUUUUUCCCCAAUCACCAUGGUACAAGACUUUUACAGUUCACAACCAUACACAACCCCUACAGCAAGCAUUGUUCCCACAUGGUCCAGGGAUGCAAAGCAUCACCAAGAGUUGUAUUGCACUGAUCAACUAUGUGCAAUUCCAAAUUCUUUAGCCUGCAUCUACAAAGGGGUUGACAAACGAUUCCCGUUCUUUCUGGUCAAUGACCCUGAAGGAAGCAAUCCAGUAGCCCCUGAAGUUUCCAUCAGCCAGCGGCUUGGCAAUGAUUGUGGCCCUGCGCAAAGGGGCAGGGAUCACCAGAAAUUUUUUUCUGCCGACUCCAAGUGUGCUCUCUCUAUCUUCUGUCAAUACUUUCAACACAGGCUUUGGGAACUAGUGUAAUUACUCCCAAUCAGCCAGUGGGUACCAGCCUGCAUUUUGAUGGUCUAGUUCAAUGCUCGUGCUCCCAAGGAAUGGAGGAGCGGUCUCCAGUUUUUGGCUCAGCAAGUCAGAAACAUCAACAUUCUUUCGCAAUGAGGGUAUUUCAACUGCUGCAUGAUGAUUUGUUGGAAAAAGAGGCCACAAAAGUGCUUCCAUUCUCCUGAAAAUAGUUGGCUUUUAAGCCUUUUGAAAUGUCAACUGGUUCUCUGAAUAUCCAUAAUUUCUUUGAUGUUCCCCUUCAUGAAUAUUAUCGUUCUUAAUUUA